GUCGGGAGGCGGGCGCCAUACAAGACCCGAAAGGGGAAAACGUCCGACCUGUCUCUCUGGCAGGUUGCUACCCUCCCGGCGCCAGGCG
rnacentral:ncRNA from 1 species